AAGUCCCGCAAGGGAUUAGUAGAGUGGCAAACGGGUGAGUAACACGUGGGUGACCUGCCUUCGAGUGGGGGAUAACGUCCCGAAAGGGACGCUAAUACCGCAUGACAUCCUGCCUUUGAAGAGGUGGAGCUUAAAGCCGGGGAUCGCAAGACCUGGCGCUUGAAGAGGGGCCCGCGCCUGAUUAGCUAGUUGGUGAGGUAACGGCUCACCAAGGCAUCGAUCAGUAUCCGGCCUGAGAGGGCGGACGGACACACUGGGACUGAGACACGGCCCAGACUCCUACGGGAGGCAGCAGUGGGGAAUUGUUCGCAAUGGGCGCAAGCCUGACGACGCAACGCCGCGUGGAGGAUGAAGAUCUUCGGG
rnacentral:rRNA from 1 species